UACGUAGGUCCCGAGCGUUGUCCGGAUUUAUUGGGCGUAAAGCGAGCGCAGGUGGUUUAUUAAGUCUGGUGUAAAAGGCAGUGGCUCAACCAUUGUAUGCAUUGGAAACUGGUAGACUUGAGUGCAGGAGAGGAGAGUGGAAUUCCAUGUGUAGCGGUGAAAUGCGUAGAUAUAUUGGAGGAACACCGGUGGCGAAAGCGGCUCUCUGGCCUGUAACUGACACUGAGGCUCGAAAGCGUGGGGAGCAAACAGG
rnacentral:rRNA from 1 species